ensembl:lncRNA
CUUUGCAGGGAAAUGCCAGUGCGGCUGCCCUCAUUGUUCAUGAAUGGACAGUUGUGCUGGUUUUGAGUUAGAACAGGCCUCGUCUACAAACACAGCAUGUUCUGGUCCUGUUAGCUCAGCUGAGCUGAAACACUGAACACAUGUUACGAUUCAGACUGUUAGUUUGUCUGAGGGUGAUUGAUAUGACCAGGAUGGCCCACCCCAAACAUCGCUGGGAUUAGCCUCAGAAACAAGCCAAAACACACAGAUCCGUGAUAUUGUCGCACACACAAGUACAGAUAUGGCAGAGGGCAGCAGACGGUUUUCUCUGACAUUAACCACAUCCUCCUCACACCAAAUACAUGCACUUAAUGCCACAGGAGCAGGUCCUGAUAAAGGCCUGGCCGGUAUGACGGUUGAAAUGUGUGCUCACUUAAGAUUUUGCUGUAUGGUUUACAUGUGAGAACCACAAAGAAAUUUGCAGUAAACUGAAAAAAUAUAGAGUGGGACGUGUCCCAAAUAAACCAACACGAGGAAGAUGCUAUAGGGAUGUAAAGAGAAGUUUAGUUGUUUGUUGCUGUUGAGAUGUGUCUGAAUAAGAUAUUUCACAAAAAAGAUGUUUACAUAUAGUCCACAAGAGAAAAUAAAUGCUGAAUUUAUAAAAAUAACCCAGUUCAAAAGAUUACAUCCCCUUGAUUCUUGUUUGAAUGCUUGAAUUUUUUGUUGUUGUUGUAGUUUUUGUUCCUUGUUCUCCAUGUGCUUCAUUGUUUGUUCCUUUAGUUGUCCUAUUAAAAACCCUGCAUAUAGAUCCAUGCCUCAACUGGCUUACUCCUGCAUUCUGCACGUUACAGGAAACACUGAAUUUUCCUGGUGUUAAGGUUUAACUGUGUAUUUUCACUGUAUAAUUUACACAGAAAAAAAUGGUGUAGAAACUUCAUUUAGAAAUUGCUAGUAAACUUCACAAUUAAUCUUCUCAAUUAAUUACAAAGAAAUAGCAAGUAACACAUUGCAUUAAUCAUGAAAUUUGGAAGAGAGAAAGACUGAAAGAGUUUUUUCUUGUAAGACAUAUGCCAAUAAUCUUUGUUUUAUUCCCAAAUUUCACAAUUCACAAUUUCUUUACAGCAUUUUGUAAAUAUUUUGUGGGCUGUUAGAAAAGAAAAAGAAAAGGUCUCUGUGGAAGCAUGAGCACAACAAUGCAAAUAAUCAUAAAUAAAACAUCGAUUACACACCAAAUGUGCAUCCUUUGCUCUUCUUUUUGUUACAUUUGGUUUAAAAGCUUCCACUGUUUGAAUCUAAGUGAAAAAGACAGAAUAAAACACGCCUGUUGAGCACAUCACUGUAUUCCUACCAAAAUCACUUUAGCGCCUGUCAUGUCCAAAUAAUUCUCAGCUUUCCAUUACAAGCUUCCCAGAAAGCCUUGAAGGCAGCAAAAUUUCCUUUUAAGGCGAGCCACUCACCCGUUCAGCUAUUUUCUAUGUAGGCAAUAUGUCUACAAGCUACAGUCUAUGUGAAUUGCUCCAAUUUCAUAUUUCAAAUUGUAAAAUUUUGAAUACUUUAUGUCAAAUGGUCUUCCUGUAGCUAAACUCAGAAAUUAACAAACAAACUGGAUUUUUUUUUUUUUGGCUGGCCCUGCAAAUAAAAAUACAGCAAUGUUUCAAAAUGAUAACCAAUUUCUUUAUUUUUUCUUGUUUACUGAAUUUUAUAUUGCUAUAGCCACCAUAUUGAGCAUUAUGAUCAUUCUUUCGUCAAUGAGCGAUUCGUCUCUGUGAUAGGUCUUACAUCAAACAUAGCCUGAUGAUGUUUCUGGAAAUUACACUGUUGCAUUGCCUUUACAGGCAUUUUUUUUCUCAAGAAAAUGAUUCAAGCAGACACACGUACACAUCAAACUAAUACGUCAGGUUUAUUAUCUAAGAUAUUAUGGGAAAACCCUAAACGAGGAAACUGAGAUGCAGAAGUGGUCAUGUAUGCCUGCGAUUAUUUUUUUAAACAUGACGUAUCAUGCUUACAGUCAAGGAAGAAGGAAUAUGUUUACCAUAGAAAUUUAGGAGAAUAAAACCUGUCUGUUGAAAAGGUUAUAGGGAACUUUGGAGUUUCUGGAGAAUAAGUGACCAGUAUGAACUAGAAUUAAUACAUUUCUGUAGAAUAUUGGAGAUCAAGGAUAUUUAUUUAUAGAUGUUGAGACAAAUGUUGAUUACAGCAAAACUGGAACUGGCUAAAGGAAUAAUUGCUUCAUGAAGAAUUGAACUCUUAUGAUGUUUUCAGUUCCCUUUCUAUUCUUAUUUAUCACUUAAAUCAGAAGCAAACUGUUUCUGGACACAUUAUUGUGAGUGCAAAUCUGUCACUGAGGAUUUUACCAUCAAGAACUAACACACGCACGCACUCACACAUUUAAUGCUUAAAUACCCACAAUAUUCAACUGACUUUACAUAUUGUCUGGCGUUUAGUACAGGCAACAAAAGAAAAGAUCGUAAGUUAUUUAACGGUCCUAAACUAGCGAACUAGUUAAUUAGAUUAUUAUACAGUAUAAAAGAUUAUAUGAAAGAUUAUUUUCCUCAAUACUUUCCUCACACUAUUCACUUAGUUUAAUCAUUAUAAAGUGUGGCACAUUCUUAACAGGUUGGAGGUCAGAAGGAGAAUGAACUGACUUGCUCUGCUUUACAGAAAUUGAUUUAUUCAGUCUGGCUCUCUCUAUAGCUGACUACGUUAUGUGCAAAAAGACACAGAGGGCUCCUUUCAAAGCAAUGGGGUAGACUCAGGUAAGAUGUGCCACAUUAUAUCUCAGUAGUCCUCUACAUUAAAUAAAAAAAAGGUGAAAUGAGUGUCAUUUAUUUAAAGUAUAUAUAUAAAAUGUUUUUAGUUUUAUCUUAAGUGAAAAUUUUUUUAAUUUUUAUCCUAUUGUUUAUGCUAAAAUAAAGUUGUAAAAAAUAUAUUAAAUGAAACAUUUUGCCUUUUGUCUAAAGAAAAUUAUUUUACCUGCCAAAUAAAUGCAUGAUUACAGUAGUGUUAUAUUAUGCCUACCAACAGGAAGAAAUGAUGCUGUAUGCGUGACCAUCUAAAGCAGAAUCUAACAUCAGAUCCUUUGUAAUGAGCUUGACUGAGUGACUGAAAUCUGGAAUGUGUCCUUUUCUUUUACCUUGAGUCCCUUUGAAAGGAUGAGAGCGGCAGGACGGUGGUGACAGGCAGAGGAGAAAUGGGAUGAGAGAGGUCAGGGGUGGAGCAAUGAACCAUGUCACCGUGUGUUAAACAAUCGGGACCUGCUCUUUCUCUCGCUGUUUGUUUGUUGAUGCUAUCAUGGCUUGUCUGUGGAGAAGAUUAAUAUGUGUAAGACUGCAGGAUGGAAUGGCUGGAAUUUCUAUCAUACAUGCAUUCAUUAUUUUGAGGAGAAUCCUUGAACAGCAUUGAGUAGUUUGCACUAAGACUAUGUUGAUUUAUAUAUCAUUUGUGCAGUAUAGUGUUUGCACUAGUCCAUACAAAGUAUGCAACUUUAUGUAUCAGUAUCAGAAUCAGACUCAGGCUCAUUAUUUGAUCAAACUGCCUAAAGUUAUUUUAGAC